rnacentral:rRNA from 1 species
UGCCACUCUUAACGGGGUGGCUUUUCAGAAGUGUAAAAAGCUUCUGGAAUAAGGGCUGGGCAAGACCGGUGCCAGCCGCCGCGGUAACACCGGCAGCUCAAGUGGUAGCCGCUUUUAUUGGGCCUAAAGCGCCCGUAGCCGGUCUGAUAAGUCUCUGGUGAAAUCCCACAGCUUAACUGUGGGAAUUGCUGGAGAUACUAUCAUGACUCGAGGUCGGGAGAGGCUGGAGGUACUCCCAGGGUAGGGGUGAAAUCCUGUAAUCCUGGGAGGACCACCUGUGGCGAAGGCGUCCAGCUGGAACGAACCUGACGGUGAGGGACGAAAGCCAGGGGCGCGAACCGGAUUAGAUACCCGGGUAGUCCUGGCCGUAAACGAUGUGGACUUGGUGUUGAGAUGGCUUCGAGCUGCCCCAGUGCCGAAGGGAAGCUGUUAAGUCCACCGCCUGGGAAGUACGGCCGCA